CCUCUCUCUUGGUCCCGCAGGCAGAGACCCCCGCCCCAGAGGUCGUGGCAAGCCACCUGUCCAAUGGUUUCAACUUGCCCAACUGCCAGAACAGGGAAGUCAGUCCUCAGGCCGCUGAACCAGCGCCGGAAAUGAACGAGAUUAUCACCGUCAGCUUGAUGACAAGUCCCAGCCCUGUGAUGGGGGCUGCUACUAGACCAACAGAGGAUUUUUCUCUUUGCGUGUCCAUCUCCUAUGCGGGCGAACCGCCCUGCAGAUACUUGUUACCGGAAGGCGAAUAUCUCUUUACGUCGGACGCAGAAUCGCUGAAUGGUCCCAAUUGUUUGAAACGUUUUGUUUUAACGGCCCCAGUUACAAUGGCCGAUGAGCUGAAGCAAGAGAUCGUUCAGCGUCUGCUCAAGGAUUUGGUAAAAGGCAUCAUGGUGGCCAGUAACCAUGGAGGGAUCUUCAUUUUUUGCCGGGAUAAAGUCUGUGUCUCGUGGUCAGGAUUUUUGGCCCCCGAGGGCCAAAUCAAACUGGAGAAUAACACUCACCAGCAGCUGUUCAAAUCCCAGGAAUUUCGAUCAGCGCUGGAGCUAUACCAGGAAGGCCUGGGACCACUCCCGGAUCCCCGAGUCAUUCUCUACGUGGGAGAUGAACUGGAUGAAAACGGAGGUAGGGGCUGCAAGCCCAUCAUCAUUCAGAUGGAACAGACAUUUGCUAUCCGGAUGCGUUCCUCCGGCGGCUUCCCGUAGUAGAGAUCUUCAUUUUCCUACACCGGUGUGGUUUUCCUGGCCAUCUUCUCUACAGAAACUACGUCCUGAGAAUGCAAAGCUUUUGAUUCCUGAGAAGAAACCAACCAUGGGAACGUUGGUUCGGAGGGCCAAAUUUGGAUGGACGUUGUAUCCGUUAACUUCCGUGCGAUUCUUCCUUCUCCAACUGGGACGUCCUUCCUACAACAGAUUGGGAAGCGCCGCUUGCUGCUGGCGUCCAAAGGAAAACACUAAAAUACGCCCCCCUCAAAAAAAAGAAAAAGAAAGCAAAUUUUGGGACCGGCUCUUUUUCACAUUUUGGAGAUGAGGAGAGGAACGUCCUUCCGUAGCCCGAUCAAUGUCUGCAUUUCCUGGCUGGGAUAUGGAGGGGAGGCGGAUGUCUUCUCCGCCAUCUUCUGCAAAUUAUCUGUUGCUUCCUUCCCUUUCGGCAUGUCACUUUAUACUGUUUGCACUUUACCUGACUCUAAAACAUGCAUAAUCUGGCAGUCUUUUUACUACAUACGUAAAAUAUCUUCGGAAUUAAUAAAACGUUAGUGAAAGUUGUAC
rnacentral:lncRNA from 1 species